rnacentral:rRNA from 1 species
AUUGAACGCUGGCGGCAGGCCUAACACAUGCAAGUCGAGCGGCAGCGGAAAGUAGCUUGCUACUUUGCCGGCGAGCGGCGGACGGGUGAGUAAUGUCUGGGAAACUGCCUGAUGGAGGGGGAUAACUACUGGAGACGGUAGCUAAUACCGCAUAACGUCGCAAGACCAAAGAGGGGGACCUUCGGGCCUCUUGCCAUCAGAUGUGCCCAGAUGGGAUUAGCUAGUAGGUGGGGUAACGGCUCACCUAGGCGACGAUCCCUAGCUGGUCUGAGAGGAUGACCAGCCACACUGGAACUGAGACACGGUCCAGACUCCUACGGGAGGCAGCAGUGGGGAAUAUUGCACAAUGGGCGCAAGCCUGAUGCAGCCAUGCCGCGUGUAUGAAGAAGGCCUUCGGGUUGUAAAGUACUCUCAGCGGGGAGGAAGGUGUUGAGGUUAAUAACCUCAGCAAUUGACGUUACCCGCAGAAGAAGCACCGGCUAACUCCGUGCCAGCCGCCGCGGUAAGAC